UAUUCGGUUCGUGGGUUUCGAGGACGCGAGGGCUUCUAGGGCGUUUGAGAGCUUAGAGCGUUUAGAGGGGUUUAUAUUAAGUCAAAUUCAGUUAAGGCUGCAGGAUUUUAAUUAAUUACUAAUAUUCGGCCAUAUAUACAUACGUUGAGGUAGUGCGACGUUACAUGUGUGAUAUGUUUGUAAUGUAAAAGCUUUACGUGUAUGCUGUGAUGAUUAAUAUAAUUUUUGUUCAGUAAGUAGGAGAAGAGUGUACUUGACAAAUAUUGUUCGACGUAUAUCUUGGUACUUACGAAACAGCACUUUGCAAUAUAGAUUAGUUUGUAUUUGGCUCAUGAAAUGUGACGUUGUAGGAGAGAUUAAAAGUAGACACAAAUUUUGUGUCAAACAUUUUUCUGUAUUGGCCUGCAACUCACCAGCACGAGACCUCAAGUGACUUGUCUGCCAUAAGAGGAAGGAGUUGUUGCUGUAUUGUCAUCCAUGUAUGGCUCUUGCAGAUAGCCUUUUCUCUUGCUGCUAUGCCACCAGAAUCUGUGCAUGUCAAGACUGAAGUGAAAAUCUGUGCGUGUCAGGA